AGUGAACGCUGGCGGUAGGCCUAACACAUGCAAGUCGAACGGCAGCACAGGAGAGCUUGCUCUCUGGGUGGCGAGUGGCGGGCGGGUGAGGAAUACAUCGGAAUCUACUCUGUCGUGGGGGAUAACGUAGGGAAACUUACGCUAAUACCGCAUACGACCCACGGGUGAAAGCAGGGGACCUUCGGGCCUUGCGCGAUUGAAUGAGCCGAUGUCGGAUUAGCUAGUUGGCGGGGUAAAGGCCCACCAAGGCGACGAUCCGUAGCUGGUCUGGGCGGAUGAUCGGCCACACUGCAACUGAGACACGGUCCAGACUCCUACGGGAGGCGGCAGGCGGGAAUAUCGGACAGUGGGCGCAAGCCUGAUCCAGGCAUACCGCGUGGGUGAAGAAGGCCUUCGGGUUGUAAAGCCCUUUUGUUGAGAAAAAAAUCCAGCUGGCUAAUACCCGGUUGGGAUGACGGUACCCAAAGAAUAAGCACCGGCUAACUUCGUGCCAGCCGCCGCCGUAA
rnacentral:rRNA from 1 species